AGCCAUUUUUUUCGGUCAAGUCGAACUUUGCUUGAUAAUCUGAUAUUCACUCAGCUGACUAACUCUAGUUGCUGUAAAAUUUUCAUUCACAACAAAUCUUAUCGUCAAUAGUUUGUGUUUUGUGAUCGAAUCGAGCAGAGAAAAAAAUCGUAGAAAAAUGUCGUUGUCAGCUCAUCAGGCGCGCCGUGAACAUGUUUUGGCUGUUUCACGGGAUUUCAACUCUCAGCCAAGAUUAACCUACAAGACAGUUUCUGGUGUAAACGGUCCAUUGGUUAUUUUGGAUGAAGUGAAGUUCCCAAAAUUCGCUGAAAUCGUUCAGCUCCGUUUGAGCGAUGGAACCAUUCGUUCUGGUCAAGUGCUUGAGGUGAGCGGUACAAAAGCUGUCGUUCAAGUGUUUGAAGGCACAUCAGGCAUCGAUGCGAAAAACACACUUUGCGAAUUCACUGGUGACAUUUUGCGUACCCCAGUCUCCGAAGAUAUGUUGGGUCGUGUAUUCAACGGCUCUGGAAAACCAAUUGACAAAGGUCCACCAAUUUUGGCCGAAGAUUUCUUAGAUAUUCAAGGCCAACCCAUUAACCCAUGGUCACGUAUCUAUCCAGAGGAAAUGAUCCAAACUGGUAUCUCAGCUAUUGAUGUGAUGAACUCAAUUGCUCGUGGUCAAAAGAUUCCAAUUUUCUCCGCUGCUGGUUUGCCACACAAUGAAAUUGCCGCUCAAAUUUGUCGUCAAGCUGGUCUUGUUAAGCAGACUGGGAAAUCUGUGCUGGAUGACCAUGAAGACAAUUUUGCCAUUGUUUUCGCUGCUAUGGGUGUGAACAUGGAAACGGCGCGUUUCUUCAAGCAAGAUUUUGAAGAGAAUGGUUCCAUGGAAAAUGUGUGCCUGUUCUUGAAUUUGGCAAACGAUCCAACCAUUGAACGUAUCAUUACGCCACGUUUGGCACUUACCGCCGCCGAAUUCUUGGCCUAUCAAUGCGAAAAGCACGUUUUGGUCAUCUUAACCGAUAUGUCUUCAUAUGCUGAAGCUUUGCGUGAGGUGUCAGCCGCCCGUGAAGAAGUUCCCGGUCGUCGUGGUUUCCCAGGUUAUAUGUACACCGAUUUGGCUACAAUCUACGAACGUGCUGGUCGUGUCGAAGGCCGUAAUGGUUCAAUCACACAAAUACCAAUUUUGACUAUGCCAAACGACGAUAUCACCCAUCCAAUUCCUGAUUUGACUGGAUAUAUUACCGAAGGUCAAAUUUACGUUGAUCGUCAAUUGCACAACAGACAAAUCUAUCCACCAGUCAAUGUGCUUCCAUCGUUGUCACGUUUGAUGAAAUCGGCCAUCGGUGAGGGUAUGACGCGUAAAGACCACUCUGAUGUUUCGAAUCAAUUGUAUGCUUGCUAUGCCAUCGGUAAAGAUGUCCAAGCCAUGAAAGCUGUCGUCGGUGAGGAAGCUCUUACCCCAGAUGAUCUUCUCUACUUGGAAUUCUUGACAAAAUUCGAAAAGAACUUCAUUUCUCAAGGCAACUACGAAAACCGCACAGUAUUCGAAUCAUUGGAAAUUGGAUGGCAAUUGUUGCGUAUUUUCCCAAAAGAAAUGUUGAAACGAAUUCCAGCAUCGAUUUUGGCCGAGUACUAUCCAAGAGACUCACGUCACUAAAGAGAAAUACCAUAAAAACUCAAGCAAAAAUGUGGGCCCCAAAACUAGUGCCCAAAAAAAUCUAAAGAGAAUCAUGUUAUGAGAAAAGAAAAGAAAAAUAUAAUAAAAAAAUCGCAUUUUUGCUCGUGUUUCUUAAACACAAAAACAAACACACACACACACACACACUGUGUGAAGAACCAACAAUACCGUUCACAUAUUUGCCGACAAUACCAACCACAUGAAAAGAAGAUCAUUCUAUAGAUAUGUACAUUUAGAACGAAAAAGUAGAACAGAACUGUAAUUCAGAUUUCGUUAUAAUGAAUUAUUUUAAAAUAAAUUCUCAACCAAAUUGUAUCCCAAUGUAGAGAACUAAUGUAUAGUAGAUAUGUCUUUUUUCUUCUUCGUUUAUUCUAGUUUUAAGUAAAAUUAACAUGAUUAUUUGAUUGGCCUAUUAUUGGACGUUUUUAAGGUUCAGUGUAAAAUAAUUGUCAGUUCAGGCUCAUAUGAAUUCGCUAUAUCGUUGAAAUCAAUCUCUAUUGAAAUAUAAAAACAAAAUCAAUGUCAUUUUUCUCUCUCAGUUGUUGUGCUUUACUCAAUGGGUAACAGCAUUCUGUCAAUCGUAUGGAAAUACGACAACAAUUUGUCUGCAUCCAACAUAGUUAGUUUUGCGAUUAUAGUGGCGCUGCAAUGCUCAAGUAUGUUACUGUAUUCGAAGAAGAUCCACAGAAAAGGGAAUGAAAUUUUUUCGUUAUGAUUUUUUUCUAUUGAAUUUUUUUGAAUGUAUUUUACAUUACAAAAACGACUACUGCGGCGCUGCGAACGUUUUGAAAGGUAUAAAAGUCAAUUGUUAGCAGGCAUUGGCUUUACUCAUUGUCCUAUAUAUUUUGAAAAUCAAAUGAAAACUGCUUUCCCUGAACUAGACCAUCUAACCAGGUGACCAAGUGAAAUUGACUUAGUUUGGAGUUAAAUCGUACAAAUCGGGGCAUGUCCAAACCACCAGAAAAAAAUACAACACACAAUACCAUUCAGUUCCAAAGUGUAUAUUUAGUUUGGGAAUAAUUUGCUCUUACAAUCUAACGCAGAGAGAGAGAGAGAGAGAGAUUACGAGUGUCACCUGGGCAACUGAUUCAUAUGACCAAAAACCACUGCAAUGAAUGCAUUGCAAAUGCAUUCUCGCAUCGUUCCAGUUCUAUUAUCCUCUUUACUUUGCUCCAUUGAAAUAGUUCGACAGAGACUAAUGUUCUCUUGCAAAAAAUGAUACUAAAAAAUCUAUAUUAUGUAUGUAUAUGUAAGAGAGGAAGUAAGGUCAUACAGAAUGGAAAAGAACGCACGUUCUGAUUUGAUCAAUUGAACACGGAUUCAAUCAUAUGAAUUUUAUUUUCAUUAAAUGCAUCAUAUUAGCAUUCCAUAGUUGCCAGAUAAAAGAGAUGAUUGUUAAUAAAAUAAACACAGAGAAUAAACCCAAAUAAAAGUAAAUGGAAAUGUUGAAAAGUAAA